AGGGGUGUAGCUCAGCCUGGAAGAGCGGCGGUCUCCAAAACCGUUGGUCGUGGGUUCGAAUCCUGCCACCCCUGCCA
rnacentral:tRNA from 1 species